CAGGUGCAUCAGAGCUAAUCAGGUCUGAACUGCUGGACUGAUCCACUACAUCCUGUGGAGCAGUGGAUUCACUCACAGGAAGUGCAAUAUUUGGACUGGAUAGCUGCUGAGUGUCACUGGAAUCCAGAACGUUGGGGAGAUGCUGACUGCCAAACAGAUGAGGAAGCAAGAGAAACAAACUCAUACAGGUUUGGAACAACUUUCAGGGUGAGUAAAUGACUGAUGAACAAUCGCUUUAAUUUCUGUUUGCCUAAUAUUUACUAUUCAUAUUAUUUAGAGAAAAUUGGAUGAGAAGUAAUUUCCUACUGCUAAAUGCAGCAGCUAGAGUUCUCAACAGCCCAGUUCUGUCAACACUACAUUGGCUCCCUAUUGAACAUCGCAUUUUAAGACAUCUUAAAAUGCGGGACCAUCAAACCCUCUACACGCUGCAUUAUUAAAUGCAUGUUCUGCGAACAAUGAGGUUUUGUUUUUGUCAGAUAUCAUUGUGGUCUAGAUUUACUGUUUCUCACUGAAACUUGGCACAAAAAGGAUGACGGCCUGCUUUUUAACCAGCUGACUCGAGCAGGUUUGGACCCUUCUACUUCCCACGGCCUUCUCGCAGAGGUGGGGGUAUUAUUGUGGUUUAUAACCAGCAUUGCAAAUUGUGCCCUGUGUUUGUACCUCAGUUUACAUCUUUUGAAUGCCUUGUACUCAGUGUAACUGCUACUCAUUCUACUGCUAUUGCUACAAUCUAUAGACCUCCAAAAUCAAAUGCAGAAUUUCUUUUAGAAUUUGUUGAUUUGCUGACAAUGUUGUGUGUUAAAUGUGAGAGAAUUCUGAUUCUUAGUGAUCUUAACAUACAUUUUGAUCAGAAAGACCAAAUACUUUUUAUAUCUGCUGGACUGUUUUAACUUUACACAAUUUGUGAAUGUUCCUACACAUUGUAAAGGUCAUACACUAAAUUUAGUUAUGGCAAAUG